NNNNUAGUCCCAGCUACUUGGGAGGCUGAGUCAGGAGGAUUGCUUGAGCCCAGGAGUUCUGGGCUAUUGUGAACUAUGUGAUCGGGCGUCUGCACUAAGUUUGGCAUCAAUAUGGUGACAUUUUGGGAGCAGGGGGCCACCGGGUUGCCUAAGGUGUCUGAGGAGGGGUUUCCAGGUUGGAAACAGAGCACCUCGACACUCCUGAGCUGAUCAGUAGUGUGACUGCUCCUGUGAGUAGCUGCAGCACUCCAGCUUGGGCAGCAUAGCAAGACCCCACUUCU
rnacentral:SRP_RNA from 1 species